rnacentral:lncRNA from 1 species
UAUCAUCUUACCAAAAAAAUUCUCACUACCUAUUUUUUCCUAACUAUCCCUCAUGACCACAACCUUACCUCACCCUUCAAACCUUAGCACUAGGAGCCACCCCAGACCCCUAAAAUAAGACGCAACACAAUAGGAAUGACGUACUUCAUAACAACCACCCAGGUCAUAAAUGAAGAAUUAUCCCAACGAAACCACACCAUAGUAGG